rnacentral:SRP_RNA from 1 species
CCGUGCUAGGUGGGGAGGCAGCGGUGCCCUGUACCCGCAAUCCGCUCUAGCGGGACUGAAUCCCUUCCCGAGGCUUUACGACCUGUAGGGUCUGCCUUAAGUAAGUGGUGUUGACGCCCAGGUCCUGCGCAAUGGGAAUCCAUGAACCAUGUCAGGUCCGGAAGGAAGCAGCAUUAAGUGGACGCUCCCAUGUGCCGCAGGGGUUGCCUGGGCCGAGCUAACUGCUUAAGUAACGCUUAUGGGCGUAAGUCGACGGAAGGUGCACGG